UUUGAACUAGGGCCUGUUACUGGAGCAGACUCAUGACAGACAGCUGGAGAAAGAUGCAACACUACAGAAGCUCAUACUGCUGAAUGAUCAGAGGAUCUGAAGGGCCUCCAGGACACGGUUCCCAGACCGAGACCUUCAAAAUGUGGACUCUGAUUGGCCUGUUUUUGUUAACGAUGCUGAGGUUACCAAAGCAACAGAUCACAAAAGUUCAAAUGGACUCAGGAGAAGAUCGAGAAACAUCCAACGCAAGCAGACGAAAUCAUUUGAAUGAUCACCUGUCUGUCCAUGUAGCUUUG